UGCGGCGUGCUUAACACAUGCAAGUCGAACGGAAAGGCCCUGCUUUUGUGGGGUGCUCGAGUGGCGAACGGGUGAGUAACACGUGAGUAACCUGCCCUUGACUUUGGGAUAACUUCAGGAAACUGGGGCUAAUACCGGAUAGGAGCUCCUGCUGCAUGGUGGGGGUUGGAAAGUUUCGGCGGUUGGGGAUGGACUCGCGGCUUAUCAGCUUGUUGGUGGGGUAGUGGCUUACCAAGGCUUUGACGGGUAGCCGGCCUGAGAGGGUGACCGGCCACAUUGGGACUGAGAUACGGCCCAGACUCCUACGGGAGGCAGCAGUGGGGAAUAUUGCACAAUGGGCGGAAGCCUGAUGCAGCAACGCCGCGUGCGGGAUGACGGCCUUCGGGUUGUAAACCGCUUUCGCCCGUGACGAAGCGUGAGUGACGGUAAUGGGUAAAGAAGCACCGGCUAACUACGUGCCAGCAGCCGCGGUGAUACGUAGGGUGCGAGCGUUGUCCGGAUUUAUUGGGCGUAAAGGGCUCGUAGGUGGUUGAUCGCGUCGGAAGUGUAAUCUUGGGGCUUAACCCUGAGCGUGCUUUCGAUACGGGUUGACUUGAGGAAGGUAGGGGAGAAUGGAAUUCCUGGUGGAGCGGUGGAAUGCGCAGAUAUCAGGAGGAACACCAGUGGCGAAGGCGGUUCUCUGGGCCUUUCCUGACGCUGAGGAGCGAAAGCGUGGGGAGCGAACAGGCUUAGAUACCCUGGUAGUCCACGCUGUAAACGGUGGGUACUAGGUGUGGGGUCCAUUCCACGGGUUCCGUGCCGUAGCUAACGCUUUAAGUACCCCGCCUGGGGAGUACGGCCGCAAGGCUAAAACUCAAAGGAAUUGACGGGGCCCCGCACAAGCGGCGGAGCAUGCGGAUUAAUUCGAUGCAACGCGUAGAACCUUACCUGGGUUUGACAUGGAUCGGGAGUGCUCAGAGAUGGGUGUGCCUCUUUUGGGGUCGGUUCACAGGUGGUGCAUGGCUGUCGUCAGCUCGUGUCGUGAGAUGUUGGGUUAAGUCCCGCAACGAGCGCAACCCUUGUUCACUGUUGCCAGCACGUUAUGGUGGGGACUCAGUGGAGACCGCCGGGGUCAACUCGGAGGAAGGUGGGGAUGACGUCAAGUCAUCAUGCCCCUUAUGUCCAGGGCUUCACGCAUGCUACAAUGGCUGGUACAGAGAGUGGCGAGCCUGUGAGGGUGAGCGAAUCUCGGAAAGCCGGUCUCAGUUCGGAUUGGGGUCUGCAACUCGACCUCAUGAAGUCGGAGUCGCUAGUAAUCGCAGAUCAGCAACGCUGCGGUGAAUACGUUCCCGGGGCCUGUACACACCGCCCGUCAAGUCAUGAAAGUUGGUAACACCCGAAGCCGGUGGCCUAACCGUUGUGGGGGAGCCGUCGAAGGUGGGACUGGUGAUUA
rnacentral:rRNA from 1 species